AAAAAAAACAACAACAACAAAAACUCAUCUCUGUUCUAUACCCAGGGUUAGAGCUAGAGGAACGUGGUUAGUGGCAUACUUGCAUACCUGUCAUGUGUGAACCCUUGGGUCAGAACUCGAGUACUUCACAAACUAGGUAUUGUAAUGCUUCUCUAUAAUUCUGGGGAGGCUGAGACAGAAGGAUCAGAAGUUUAGGGUUAGCCUCAAAUACUUGUCAAGGACUUGGGAGAGUUCAAGGCUAGCCUAUAAUCCACGGGAUUCUGUCUCAGAUGGAGAAAAAGAUGUCUUGUAUAGCUUAAAUUUACAGCUUCUGCUUUAGCCUCUUAGUACUGGGAUUAUAGGCAUGUUAGUUGUUACCCCCAGAUUUAUUGCUGAUCUAUUAAAACAGCAUUUGUAUUGUAAUGGUUCUCUCUCUCUUUCUUUCUCUCUCUCUCUUUCUCUCUCUCUCUUUUUCUCUCUUUCUCUCUCUCUGUAUGUGUGUAUGUGUGUGUGUGCUAAUUUACCACUGGUAAUUUUUUUUUUUUAAAUAAAGCUAAACAUAGUGGUGCAGAUCUGUAGUAUUACCACACAAGAGGAUAAAACAGGAGGGUCACAGAUUCUAAGCCAACCUUGGGUUAAAUGGUGAUACCAUGGUGGCUCAUGGCUUUAAUCUCAGCACUUGGGAGGCAGAAGCAGGUGGGCUUCCCAGAAUUCAAGACCAGCGUGGUUUACAUAGUGAGUUAUAGGCCAGCUAGGGCUACAGAGACCGACCCUGUCUAAAAACAAACAAAAAGAUACUUUGGUAUGUCACAUACUACCUAUAAGGCCUCAGGCUGCAGUCUUUAGUUUGAGGCUAGCCUGAACUACAUGGUGAGAUCUUGUCUUAAAACACCAGGAGCUGAAGAUUUGACUCAGUAAUAGAGCACCUGGUUAACAAAACGCUCUGGGUUCAAUGUCAAUCUCUGUUUCGAAGUCUUACCUUUGCCCAGGACACAGCAGCAGCUUCAGUCCCUUGCUCCUAGAUCUCUAUCCAUGGGGAAGAUGAAAUCGCCCUUUUGGAAAAUAACCUCACUUGACAAGUCUAUUCCUAACCAGGAUUUCUCAAAGGCCAAAAGCAAGAAUAAAGCAGAGGUUACUAGUCAGGUAAGCUUUGGGUGGCACUUAAGUGAAAAAUAAUAGCUCUUCUGACUACAGACCUACCUCUCAUUUCAACCCCCAGAGUUUUUAAAGAAAGGGAUAAGAAUGCCUAUGUUAGAAGAAGUGUAGAUUAGACCUUUUUUUUUUUUGUCUCCCAGAUAAAGAAGGGUAGGUAGAGGUAGAGCUCUUACCUAGAAGACUCGAGGGUUGCUGGGGAUGAAGUCGCAGCCUGCUUUAGGGAGGCGGAGCCUAGUAUUGUGGAGUUUGUGUUCUUAUGUUCUUUCUAUACAGAUAACUUAAACUGACAAAGUGAACAUUGACGGACAUAGUGUGGAAGAAGGAAGCCCGCCAGGAAACACAUUUGCAGCAAGUGCUUUGUAUUCGGGUAGCAGAAAGGACUCCCAUGGCACUGGGGCCCUUCAGUCCAAGGCCGGCAUCUCUAGAGGAGACCUUUGCCGUCCUUAGGCUGCCUAUAGGAUACAGUUCAAGAACAGGGUUUUGUUAGUGGCUUUUGGUCAUUGGGAAGGACCCAAUGUUGAGUGGUAAGUGCUUGCCUAGGAUGUGGGGCCAUAGGUUCCAUUCCCAGCAACACAAACACACAAAUGAUCAAUGAUCAUUGAGAAGAAGGCAAGUGUAGGAAGGGGAAAUGUUCAGAAUAUGUUCACUGGCCUGACUUUUUAUUCUCACAUAAUUAACAUCUUAAACUUAAAUGACCUUCAUUAUAACUUUUAAAGAUGCAUUCCAUGUGGUAAGACUUCUGAGAUUCACGUUUUCCCAGGGGCAAGAUUAGAAGACAUUGCCUUUUAACACCAGCAGCCAUUUUGUCUUAAUGCUAACAAGGACUAGCAUUUAGUUUGCUUUUGCUCUUGACUUGGCCCUGAGUUAGAUCUGAAUCAAAAGAACUAAGAAAUGUGGGACAGAAUAUGGUUCGGGUAUGUUUGUGUUUUUAGACAGAUUAUUGGGCCUGUCUCAGUCGGGGGACCUUGAGUGGUGUUAGAACAAUAGUGUUGUCAACAGCAACAACAAAAGGAGCCAUAGUACCGCAGGCCUUUGAUCCUCCUGAGGAAGGGGCGGGUCUCUGAGCUCAUGGCUAACCAGAGCAACACAGUGAGAUUCUGUCUCAGAAAAUAAAACAAAAAAUAGUGUUGCUUAUAUUUGAAAUUAGUAUUUUAAAGAACCAUACAAAAAUCUGAAGUAUAGUUAAAUUAUUGUAGCUAAUAACAAACAUGGCUGCUACCCUGAAAGCAUAACUACUACAUGGUUCCUAACUUCACAGUUCCUAAGGAGUGUGCAAGCUCCUAAGAAGGCAAGUGUGAACAGCCCAGAGUAAUGUCACGUAGGAGAGUUUAUAGGCACUUUUUUGGGGAUAGUUGAUAUCCUUGGAGUUUCUUAUUACAAGGACCUCUGCUUUUUCUUAAACUAGGUAGGAAAAGAAACAAAAAUGAUCCAGUUAUCCAGGUUAUCAAGAUAUUUGUCUUUAACAAGGCACAAACUGUAUCUGUCAUUGGAGCCCUUCUGAACUGUAGGCUUCAUGAGAUGCCAGUGAAACUGAGUAAAUGUUCAGAGUAGGAACACCCAGAAGUGCAGGGUUAAGUUAACCCUGAUAGUGCAAUGACAUUGACCCUCUACUCCAGUGCUGGGCUGGGAGGGAAUUACUUUAAAGUACAACCUAUGGGCUUGGGAUGGAGCUCAGCUAUGAGAGUUUUUACCUGGCGUGCAUGAAACUGUGUAUUUGACCCUUAGCACCUCAUAAAUUGGGCAUAAGUGGCGCUUGCCUGUAAUCCCAGUGCUUAGAAAAUAAGAGGCAAGAGAUUGAGAAGUUCACAAUGGUCUCUGCUUCAUAGCAAGUUCAAAACCAGCCUGGAGGAUGCAAGACACAGAAUCAAGGAAAAAUACUGUGGGAAUCCCUGUCGCCUGUUCUGACAACAAAGUUCCCGCGCUAGGAUGGAGGAGGAGUCUGACUGACGACUCCCCGACGGGCCUAAUCUAGGCUGCUAAGAUAGGUAACAGUCAUUGCAAAGUGCACAUUUUAAAUGAUUUCUCCUGAGGAACACAUCUGAGCCACCGAUGGAGUGUGCCUUGAGAAGGAAUGUCUCAGUUGGACUCUAGGACCAUGCAGCAAGGAUGAUUGCCUGGUCACAUGGUUGGAGUAAUCAGACUCUUAACAGCAAGUCUGGGGUUUCUACUCAUCUCUCAUCAUCUUCAUCCCCACAUGAGUGGUGACAUACCCUAUCUUUCUGGGCAUCUCAGGGAGUUGAGCUGUCAAGUCAGUUUGGCUAGCCUGCUUAAGAGUUAAAGAAAACAAACAAUUUGGUUUACUAGCUACCUGAAUUUUAAAAAGUUCUGGUUUUCAGUUUAUGAUUUUAUACUAUAAAGAGUUUCCUGGUCCAUUUCAAAUGCAUUUUUCAGUGUUUUCCCUACUCUGUGUUGAGUUCAUUUCAUUGCUUAUUUCCUAUGACUCAGAAAAUGGUUGAGUAAGCUGGGCAUAGAGGAGCACACUUCUAAUCUCUGUGUUUGGGCAGCUAAGGCACAAGAGGCUCAAAUUUGAGGCCAGCCUAAGUUGAUCUACACAUUGAGACUCUGUCUCAACAUUUUAAAGAAGGAAAACCAGUUGAAUAGAGAUAAACCUUUUGAGUAUAAAGCCUGCACUAAUAAUCAUUAAAUAAAAGUUCACCUUUUUUUUUUUGGUUUAAGUGGUACAUAAUAUCUUAAAUUUGACAAGUUAGAGAACCACUCAGAGUUGAUUGGUGUGACUGGUUCUUUUUAUCAGAUUUGUUUUCCCUUUACCAUUCAGCAAAACCAUCAAGAGACUAACACUGAAUCUCUUUGUGUUUGGUCUUCACGGGAAUCACAUGUUUUCUCACUGAAUAUUUUUAUUAAAACAAUGUAGAAUCUGACUGAUCGAUAGCACCCACGUUACCAGACACUCAGGCAGCAGGCUCCAAAGCAGCCUAGGCAAUUCAGUGAGAACCUGUCUCAGAACGAAUAGAAGAUUUGCAGCCUAAACUGGGGAGAGAGAACCAACUGGAGAUGGGGAAUUUGGGAAGGGAAUGAAUGAGAAAUUAUAAUGAUGCCCAUGACUGAAGAUGCCAUAAUAAAACCCUUUACCUGGUCCCCUAACCCAAGAAAUUCAGAAAGAAAGAAAAUGUCUGCACAUAGAUCUUGAGCUUGCCAGAGAGCAAGUUUUGAAUUAUAAAAAUGAGUUACAGCUUGUAAUUCAUUACUCAGAGUGUGCCUCUUUCCAAUUGAAGUUGCAAGACCUCAGACUAUGCCCCCGUGACUUAAUUUUAUGUCCUUCCCUGUUUACUGUGUCUAACCUUCAAGAUUUCGUGACUGAUGCUGAAGUGGAAGCCAGCCAGUGCAGACGUUUGGGGAAAUGACAUCUGAAGAAUGCAAAGGGAAAUAGGAAUUCCUGUCUAGCGUUCCCAACCUGCCUUGUCCUGCCUGCCUUCCACUCAACAGUGAGAGGAAAAGACCUGGGCUCAUGGAAUUUUCCAGCUAAGCCUUACAGCUCUGUUUGGUGUUCUUAGGAGAGGUCCUGAGAAGGUGAGUGAACUGUUUCUGAAGAAAGACUGCCCGUUCGUUAGGGCUGUAGUUCUACUUUUGGAAGACAGUCACAGCUCCCUUCUGGGCUCCCCGGCCCUGUGGAUUUUGAGUGUGUUGCAGGACUGUGGAAAGAUUAGAGUAGUUGCACCUGCAAGUAUUCGACUUUAGCCAGGCAUGAUGCACACCUAUAGCUCCAGCACUUGAGAAGCUUGGGCAGGAGGAUGAAGAAUUCAAGGAGAGGGCCUGGAGUGAUGGCUCAGCAGAGAACACUUGUUUCAGAGACUGGGUUCAGUUCCCAGGGCCCACAUGGCUGUUCACAGCCAUCCAGAGCUCCACCCCAGGGACUGUUCUGACUUUGGCAGGCACCACCAGAGGCUUCUGGUGUGCAGACACACAUGUAAGCAGGACUCAUAAACCUGGAAUGUUCAAAGUUCAAGGAGAGCUGUGGCAGUGCAGCAAGCCCCAGCUGCAGUGAAUCCUUUCUUGUGUUAGUUCCAUCCUCAUUGUAUAGGCUUUUAAAUUCUGUAGUGUCAGAGGGUGCACUAGAAUUACAUUUGCACUUGAUAGGCACAAAUACAGGUAAACUAGAGGGGGUAGUAGUUUCUAGUUUCUCUUAGCAUUCAUUUAUUAAUUUUGUUAAAAAAAAAAAACCCUCAAAGGUUACAAGAAAUAAAUUAUUCCAGACUGAUCAUGUACCCAUGCAGUAGGCAUCUGCAGGCCUACUAAUACAGAGGUCAUGACCUUGAACUCAUUUUGAUUCAUAAAGUAUAGAGAGUUUAGUUUAAGGAAUCAAAAUCUGAUUAAAAGGGAGAGUGGCUAAAUUUUUUUUUUUUACUAGCAAUCUACCUACAUAUGCUAACCUGAAUACACAUUCUAAAUGGAAUGUGUAUUCAGUGUGUGCUAGUAAGUCGCACACUUAGAAUCCAGCACUCAAGAGGCUGAGGCAGGAGCAUCAAGAGUUUGAAGCCAGCCUGGAAGUAGUGAUGCACGCCUUUAAUCCCAGCACUUGGGAGGCAGAGGCAGAAAGAUUUCUGAGUUCGAGGCCAGCCUGGUCUACAGAGUGAGUUCCAGGACAGUUAGGGCUACAUAGAGAAACCUUGUCUCGAAACAAAACCAAAAAAAAAAGUUUGAAACCAGCCUUACACCAUUUGUUAGUCAUAUACAGUGGACAUACACACCUAUGUGGGUUUGCAUGUGUAACAUUUACUAGAUCCUUCAUGUCUGAGGAACUAUAAGAGCCUUACAUGUAAUAUCUCAAGACCAGCAGAAAAGCUAACAAACUUGGCCUAAGUAUGUACACUGUGAUGUUGACCAGUGUCUGAACACAGGCAGGUUGGCUGCAGAGCGUGCACUCUUCAUUUGGUUGUGAUAAUGUGUAUGUGUAGUCCUGCAGUGAGUAACCCCAAAACAUUGAGGUUCUUAAGAAAAUUUGUAUUAGUUUUUAAAAAAAAAAGGCAGGUGUAAUGGCAUACCUUUUUAUGCUGAGGAGGCAGAGGCAGGUAGGUUACUGCAUGUUCAAGGCCAGCCUGAUCUUCAUAGCAAGUUCUAAGCUAUCCAGAACUGCAGUCAGGACUCAAAAACAAAACAAACAAAAAGGAAGGAAAACAAAAUAGGAGUGUCCAAUUAGUGAUGAAAAUUGAUUAAUGUAGCAAUAGCUUGGGGUUUUCAGAGUCAGAAAUUCCUUCUUUUCUGACUCUAAGCUAGUCUCUCUUAAGUUUGCAUACUAACCUUUCCCCAGACAGAGACUUAAAAGAUCUGGAACAAGGGAGCACUUCCUCUUUAGAAUGUGGGCUCGGGAGAGGGGAGGAGUUUGUUUUUAACUGUUAAAUCAUGAUAAACUGACUGCUGAGACUUUCCCUAGAAUUCUUUUAGAAACAGGUAGACUUUGUGCAGAAGAGAAGAAACACUGCCUGAGCUGCCCAGGUAGGUGAGUGCCUGUGCUGUGCCUCUGUCACUGCUGUGUUCCUCUGUAAACCUGGUGUUACUUCAAUAAACUGCUGUCUGAACUCA